rnacentral:rRNA from 1 species
AUUGAACGCUGGCGGAAUGCUUUACACAUGCAAGUCGAACGAUGAUUUCUAGCUUGCUAGAAUGAUUAGUGGCGAACGGGUGAGUAAUGUAUCGGAACGUAUCCAAUAAUGGGGGAUAACUAAUCGAAAGGUCGGCUAAUACCGCAUACGCCCUACGGGGGAAAGGGGGGGAUCUUCGGACCUCUCGCUAUCAGAUGAGC